GACAGAGGGGGCAAGCGUUGCUCGGAAUCACUGGGCGUAAAGGGUGUGUAGGCGGUUGUUUAAGUGUGGUGUGAAAUCUCCCGGCUCAACUGGGAGGGUGCGCCGAAUACUGAAUGACUUGGAGUGCGGGAGAGGAGAGUGGAAUUCCUGGUGUAGCGGUGAAAUGCGUAGAUAUCAGGAGGAACACCGGUGGCGAAGGCGGCAUCCUGGACCAACACUGACGCUGAGGAGCGAAAGCCAGGGGAGCAAACGGG
rnacentral:rRNA from 1 species